GACAGAGGGUGCAAACGUUGUUCGGAAUUACUGGGCGUAAAGCGCGUGUAGGCGGCCAUCUAAGUCGGGCGUGAAAUCCCUCGGCUUAACCGAGGAACUGCGUCCGAUACUGGAAGGCUUGAAUCCGGGAGAGGGAUGUGGAAUUCCAGGUGUAGCGGUGAAAUGCGUAGAUAUCUGGAGGAACACCGGUGGCGAAGGCGGCAUCCUGGACCGGCAUUGACGCUGAGGCGCGAAAGCUAGGGGAGCAAACGGG
rnacentral:rRNA from 1 species